AGAGUUUGAUCCUGGCUCAGAGUGAACGCUGGCGGCGUGGCUUAGGCAUGCCAGUCGAACGCGAAAGGCUUCGGCCGAGUAGAGUGGCGAAAGGGUGAGUAAUGCAUAGAUAACCUACCCUCAGGACCGGAAUAACCGCUGGAAACGGCGGCUAAUGCCGGAUGGUCUGGUCGGGCGGCAUCGCCUGUCCAGUAAAUGGUAGCUUCCGGGCUUCUGCCUGAUGAGGGGUCUAUGUCCUAUUAGCUAGUUGGUGAGGUAACGGCUCACCAAGGCGACGAUGGGUAGCCGGACUGAGAGGUUGGCCGGCCACACUGGGACUGAGACACUGCCCAGACUCCUACGGGAGGCUGCAGUCGAGAAUCUUCCGCAAUGGACGCAAGUCUGACGGGGCGACGCCGCGUGCAGGAUGAAGGCCUUCGGGUUGUAAACUGCUGUUGCAUCUUACGAACCCCCGGGAGUUAAUAGCUCUCCGGGAUGACCAGGGUGGAGAGCCCAU
rnacentral:rRNA from 1 species